rnacentral:rRNA from 1 species
GACGAACGCUGGCGGCGUGCCUAAUACAUGCAAGUCGAGCGCAGUGGGGACGGGUGAGUAACACGUGGGUAACCUCCCAUCAGAGGGGAUAAAACUUGGAAACAGGUGCUAAACCGAUACUGAUGGAUGAACCCGCGGUGCAUUAGCUAGUUGGGGGGGUAACGGCUCACCAAGGCCACGAUGCAUAGCGGACCUGAGAGGGUGAGCGGGCAGACUGGGACUGAGAGACGGCCCAGACUGCUACGGGAGGCAGCAGUAGGGAAGCUUCGGCAAUGGACGAAAGUCUGACCGGGCAACGCCGCGGGAGUGAAGAAGGUUUUCGGAUCGUAAAACUCUGUUGUUAGAGAAGCGGUAUCUAACCAGAAAGCCACGGCUAACUACGUGCCAGCCGCCGCGGUAAUAC